UAAAUUCCAAGCUCAGAAAUGGCACCUAUCCCUAUCCCCGAUUCUGCUCGCCCAAAUCGCCCAACUCAUCUGACUUUUCAGACGAGUUCUUCCCCAAACUCAUCACACAUGGUCCCCUCCUCUACAACGUGGCAUAACUGUUCUCUGACAGAAUAUUUUCUGCAUUAUGCCAUUCUCACGCGCUUUUGAUUUCUUGGGAUGAAUCUCGGUUAAAUGGUAGCGGUUGGAUGUGAGAAAUCACAUCCAUGCCUUCCAUUUGUCUGGGUUUUGUUCUAUGUGAGAUUGGGGUUCGUUUUUGCGAAUUUGGGGAUAAAAUUUGGGGAUUUAGGAGAAGAGGGCAGAAGCUUCGAGAGUUGAGUAUAUAUAGUGGGGUUUUCAGAGAUUUGGGAGGAAGAAAAAAAAUUCGGAGAUUUUUCUAAGUGGAUUUUUAGAAUUUGUCAUCCGAAAAGAAUUCUUUGGUUUUUUUUCCUGAUAUUUUAGGUCAUCCUCUUUGAUUUAGUUUUUUUUUUCAGUUUAUUCUUUGAUAUCCAGAAACAGAAAAACACAAAAUAUUAUUACAUGUAUUUGGCUUCUUGAUUUGAUUUUCCAACGAUGGAAUUUGAUUAAGGAUGGUCUGAAUUCGUCGGAGUUGAAGAUUAUUUUUCCGUUUCGAGUUUUGUUAGUGUUUCGUGUUUCUCGUUGCGGUCUCAUCUCUUUAUUUCCAGCAGCUAGGAAAGAAGGAUUUGGUUGUAAACGACACUUCUCAUUGCUGUUGUUAAAAGAAGAAUUACUUAACAGUUGCAAGUUUGAAGUCAGGAGAAGUCUUAAGAGUACCAUUUUGAUUAAAUUGAUGUGUACACGGUUUGAAUGGAAACCUUCUGAAGCAUUUUCAAUUUUGCAUUCCGAGGGGCAUAACAGAAUUCUCAAGCUUCCUGUAUUAAUCACGCUUUGUUCUAGAAUUCCCGUGUUAUAGAAUCUGAGAAUUUCGAAUGUGUUGUGCAUAAUGUUAAGGAUCAUAUUAAAUCCAUGUGGUUACUAUUUGUUCAGAGAUAAGAUAUCAGUUAGUGGUUUUUCCAAUGGCUCAAACUCAUCUUUACUUUUAUUAAUUCUUUUAGUUUUUUUUUGGUCACACGUUCGUUCUCUAAUAAUUUAGUUUGGAUCUUCUGUUUGAUAAUUGGUUUCAUCGAGUAUGAAUUCGUUUGGA